GCCUUCGUGGUGUAGUGGUCAGCACGUUCGACAACUAACCGAGUGGUCCGUGGUUCGAUUCCCGGCGAAGGCG
rnacentral:tRNA from 1 species